rnacentral:rRNA from 1 species
AACGAACGCUGGCGGCAUGCCUAACACAUGCAAGUCGAACGAAACCUUCGGGCUUGGUGGCGACCGGGUGCGUAAAGCGGGGGAACAUGCCCUUAGGUUCGGAAUAACUCCCCGAGAGGGGUGCUAAUACCGGAUACUGAUUUCGGACCGAAGAUUUAUCGACUUUGGAUGGGGCCGCGUUGUUUCAGCGAGGUGGUAGGGUAAAAGCAUGCCAAGGCGACGAUCCGUAGCUGGCUGGAGAGGAGGAACAGCCAGACUGGGACUGAGACACGGCCCAGACUGCUGCGGGAGGCAGCAGUGGGGAAUAUAGGACAAUGGGCGAGAGCCAGAGCCAGCAAUGGCGGGUGAGUGAUGAAGGCGUUAGGGUUGUAAAGCGCUUUUGCCCGAGAUGAUAAUGACAGUACCGAGAGAAGAAGCACCGGCUAACUCCGUG